rnacentral:misc_RNA from 1 species
GAUAGAACGUAGCGAAAUGCGAUAAGUAAUGUGAAUUGCAGAAUUCAGUGAAUCAUCGAAUCUUUGAACGCACAUUGCGCCCGCCAGUAUUCUGGCGGGCAUGCCUGUUCGAGCGUCAUUUCAACCAUCAAGCCCCCGGCUUGUGUUGGGGACCUGCGGCUGCCGCAGGCCCUGAAAAGCAGUGGCGGGCUCGCUGUCACACCGAGCGUAGUAGCAUACAUCUCGCUCUGGGCGUGCUGCGGGUUCCGGCCGUUAAACCACCUUCAUAACCCAAGGUUGACCUCGGAUCAGGUAGGAAGACCCGCUGAACUUAAGCAUAUCAAUAAGCGGAGGA